AUCUUUGUCAUGUACAGUUCAUAUAGCUAAUGGCUCCUUGCAAAUGACUUUGACCCUACUACAACUGGUCAAAAUUUACAUGCAUAUUGUUUCUGUUGGGUUCACUUCAUAUAGGAGCGAAAUAUUAGAAGUUCUUGCAUUCAGGUUUAUGUGAGUUCUUACUAUGGCUCGACUUUGAUGUCGCACAAUUGUAAUAUCACGCCUUUGAAUGACCUUUUCAUAAUACUUUUGUUCAUGCAACCUGGUUCUGAGUACGUUUACGAUGAGCAUUAUUUUAGAUUGCAUAAUUAUUCUUUAUAGCAAUUUUUUCAGAACUGAUGACAGUGGGAAAGGCUCCCACUGACUUUAUAUUAAUAUGUUAGUGUGUCAAAACAGUCCAGUCAGUUUAUGUUACAUGAUGAGAAGGAGCUGGGGAGGGGUCAGGAGAAGUAAAUACAAGUGGCCUAGUAAGAAUUACAAUGUGGCUAUCAAAGACAGAAUGUAGGGGCCAACCUCCAGUUCAUAGAUAACAUAGGAAUACCUUUUCAAGCUUAAUUAGUGUUGUAAUAUCAUUGUUGUCGAGUAUAUUAUUAUGAUAUGUUUUUGCAAAAUAAUUAGCCUGUGUAGAAGCAUGUGUUGUUAACUAGUAUUAUCUAAUUGAUAUGCGCCUAGCACUUUUCAUCACCUAGUAUUUAGCUGGGCUGCAUGUCUUAUCGAGUUUAGUGUAGUGGAACUUUUUAUGUCAGAUAAGCACAAUGGAGUUUAGUUCUUUUCUCCCAACCAACUCUGUUGACCUAUGUAUGUUCAUCAUUACUUUUUGUUGUUGCUAGUUGUUUCGAUUAAAUUUGUUGCACCACUUUGCAUCCAGGGAGUGAAAAAAUAUAGAACCUUAUAACAUGUAGUUAGCUACUUCUAGUUUUACCUACUUGCUAUAUUAUUUUAUAAUGUGACAUAAUUUUCAUCAUGUGGCAGAUAUUCGUUUGGAGCAUUUUCAACAACAAAGACGUGCGUUAUGAUCACUUUGGUGUGCAGCCAGAAACAUGGGAUGACCCCUAGUUGAUGUUUUACGAGAGCUGGCCUCGGUUGAUUUGGGCGUUACUGGGUGUAGAGUAGCAUAGUGUUCUUUGAGACGUACUUGUAAAGUUAAUGUUUCCUGUGUUUUCUUUUUGCUCCCGUACUGGUAUACUAUUGGUGUAUUUUUGUAAUUUUCUUUUUUAAUGACAUGAGCAUAUAUUUUUCGUCAAAUUCUUAAUGGCUUGAAAUUUCCAUGGACCGAGAGAAAUGAGAGAUGGGCC
rnacentral:lncRNA from 1 species